rnacentral:rRNA from 1 species
GUAGGUGGCAAGCGUUGUCCGGAAUUAUUGGGCGUAAAGCGCGCGCAGGUGGGUUCUUUAAGUCUGAUGUGAAAGCCCCCGGGCUCAACCGGGGAGGGUCAUUGGAAACUGGGGAACUUGAGUGCAGGAGAGGAAAGCGGAAUUCCACGUGUAGCGGUGAAAUGCGUAGAUAUGUGGAGGAACACCAGUGGCGAAGGCGACUUUCUGGCCUGUAACUGACACUGAGGCGCGAAAGCGUGGGGAGCAAACAGGAUUAGAUACCCUGGUAGUCCACGCCGUAAACGAUGAGUGCUAAGUGUUGGGGGGUUUCCGCCCCUCAGUGCUGCAGCUAACGCAUUAAGCACUCCGCCUGGGGAGUACGGUCGCAAGACUG